rnacentral:ncRNA from 1 species
AGGAACUCGGCAAAAUAGCCUCGUAACUUCGAGAGAAGGGGUGUCCCCUCACAAAAGGGGGUUGCAGUGACCAGGCCCGGGCGACUGUUUACCAAAAACACAGGUCUCCGCAAAGUCGUA